UUCGAUUCCGAAGUUGAUUUUUAGAGAGUGAAACCGCUCUUUUUAGAGAAACCCUGUUUUAGAGAGAGAGAGCUCAGUUCUAGAGAGAGAAAAAGCUCAGUUCUAGAGAGAGAAAGAGAGAUGGCAGAUAUUGCUCUUCUGUUCGCUGAAGAAUACGAGAAGGCCAAAGCCAUGCAGAGAGAAAGGGGUGGGCCAAAACCUGAUUCAUAUCUGUCGAUAAUGGCGCACCAAGCUGAGGAAUGGCUUCACCAUCAAAGAGAGGAAUCGUGGAAAAUCGGCAAAUUCGUGCUUUCUGUCGAUCUUCUGGCUCCCAAAUCGCCUAUUUCUAUCGCUUCCAUGGAGGGUUUCUUUUGCUCGUAAGAGAAAUAUGUACAGGUCAAGAUUUACGAUUAUCUUUUGCUGAUGAAUGCAGGAGAUUUAUCUUUGAAUGCUUGUUGAUUUCCAUGGAUGUUUCAGUUGUUUGAUUUUGGUUUGUAUAUAGAAAGUUGAGAAAUACAGGAUUCUCAGUUUCAUUUUAUGGAUGGAGUGCAGGCUGUGUAUUUUGAGAGAGAGAGAGAGAAAGAGAUUUCCGUCUCGUCUCUUUGCUAAUUACUCUGCAUAAUAUUUCUUUGCUAA
rnacentral:lncRNA from 1 species